rnacentral:tRNA from 1 species
GGAGAGUUGCCGGAGUGGCCGAUCGGGACGGUCUUGAAAACCGUUGACGCGGGAUGUCCGCGUCCGUGGGUUCGAAUCCCACACUCUCCG